rnacentral:rRNA from 1 species
GAUGAACGCUGGCGGCGUGCCUAAUACAUGCAAGUCGAGCGAACGGACGAGAAGCUUGCUUCUCUGAUGUUAGCGGCGGACGGGUGAGUAACACGUGGAUAACCUACCUAUAAGACUGGGAUAACUUCGGGAAACCGGAGCUAAUACCGGAUGAUAUUUUGAACCGCAUGGUUCAAUGGUGAAAGACGGUCUUGCUGUCACUUAUAGAUGGAUCCGCGCUGCAUUAGCUAGUUGGUAAGGUAACGGCUUACCAAGGCAACGAUGCAUAGCCGACCUGAGAGGGUGAUCGGCCACACUGGAACUGAGACACGGUCCAGACUCCUACGGGAGGCAGCAGUAGGGAAUCUUCCGCAAUGGGCGAAAGCCUGACGGAGCAACGCCGCGUGAGUGAUGAAGGUCUUCGGAUCGUAAAACUCUGUUAUUAGGGAAGAACAUAUGUGUAAGUAACUGUGCACAUCUUGACGGUACCUAAUCAGAAAGCCACGGCUAACUACGU